UACGUAGGGGCGAGCGUUGUCCGGAGUUACUGGCGUAAGCGCACGCAGGCGGUCUGUUAAGUUUGGAGUGACAGUUGGUGGCUUAACUGCCAAAGUGCUUCGAAACUGACAGACUUGAGGGCUUCAGAGGGACACGGAAUCCGGGUGGAGUGGUGAAUGCGUAGAGAUCCGGAGGAACACCAAUGGCGAAGGCAGUGUCCUGGAAGUACCUGACGCUCAGGUGCGAAGCUAGGGGAGCGAACAGG
rnacentral:rRNA from 1 species